GGUUUCUGACAUCAGAAAAAAAAGUGAAGUAUAGGCCACUGGACGUUAAGCAACCAAGUAUUAAACCUCACCUUUCCGUGAAGUGUUUACAAUUAUUUGUAUUUUUAAAAAAUAAAAAAAAAAAAGGAUAAACAUUUCCAAAAACUGAAAAUAUUUGAGAAGACGCUAUUACCUUAGAAGUAAAAAAUUUACCAGACAGAAUAAACACGGCAGAAACAAACAAACGAAAAAAAAAAAGAGAACAAUUUGAAAUACCAUAUACAUGUUAAAAUCGGUAUAUACAAGCGGAUUAUAAACGGGACAGGGUUGAGCGAACAUGAAUUUCU
rnacentral:lncRNA from 1 species